GUGCCUACGGGGGGCAGCAGUGGGGAAUAUUGCACAAUGGGGGAAACCCUGAUGCAGCGACGCCGCGUGAGUGAAGAAGUAUCUCGGUAUGUAAAGCUCUAUCAGCAGGGAAGAAAAUGACGGUACCUGACUAAGAAGCCCCGGCUAACUACGUGCCAGCAGCCGCGGCAAUACGUAGGGGGCAAGCGUUAUCCGGAUUUACUGGGUGUAAAGGGAGCGUAGACGGCGCUGCAAGUCCGGAGUGAAAGCCCAUGGCUUAAC
rnacentral:rRNA from 1 species